UGGCUUGUGAUGAUAAUUUCAAUAUCUUAGCGGAUUUCAGUGAGAUUUGUAUCAAUGAUCUGAUUGUUACACACACUGAGGCCA